CGUGUAGGCGGCCAGGUAGGUCCGUUGUGAAAACUCGAGGCUCAACCUCGAGACGUCGGCGGAAACCAUCUGGCUAGAGUCCGGAAGAGGAGAGUGGAAUUCCUGGUGUAGCGGUGAAAUGCGCAGAUAUCAGGAAGAACACCCGUGGCGAAGGCGGCUCUCUGGGACGGUACUGACGCUGAGACGCGAAAGCGUGGGGAGCAAACA
rnacentral:rRNA from 1 species